rnacentral:tRNA from 1 species
GGUGGCACAGUGGUAGAGCGCUUGCCUUGUAUGCAUGAGGCCUUGGGUUCGAUUCCUCAGCACCA